UACGAAGGGGGGCUAGCGUUGCUCGGAAUCACUGGGCGUAAAGGGCGCGUAGGCGGCCAUUUAAGUCGGGGGGUGAAAGCCUGUGGCUCAACCACAGAAUUGCCUUCGAUACUGGAUGGCUUGAGACCGGAAGAGGUAAGUGGAACUGCGAGUGUAGAGGUGAAAUUCGUAGAUAUUCGCAAGAACACCAGUGGCGAAGGCGGCUUACUGGUCCGGAUCUGACGCUGAGGCGCGAAAAGCGUGGGGAGCAAACAGG
rnacentral:rRNA from 1 species